CCUACGGGAGGCAGCAGUGAGGAAUAUUGCACAAUGGGGGAAACCCUGAUGCAGCGACGCCGCGUGAGUGAAGAAGUAAUUCGUUACGUAAAGCUCUAUCAGCAGGGAAGAAAUACUGACCUUACGGUCAGCAGACGGUACCUGAGUAAGAAGCCCCGGCUAACUACGUGCCAGCAGCCGCGGUAAUACGUAGGGGGCAAGCGUUAUCCGGAUUUACUGGGUGUAAAGGGAGCGUAGACGGUGCGCCAAGUCUGGUGUGAAAUGCCGCAGCUUAACUGCGGAACUGCUGUGGAAACUGGCGAACUAGAGUGCGGGAGGGGUAAGCGGAAUUCCUAGUGUAGCGGUGAAAUGCGUAGAUAUUAGGAGGAACACCGGUGGCGAAGGCGGCUUACUGGACCGUAACUGACGUUGAGGCUCGAAAGCGUGGGGAGCAAACAGGAUUAGAUACCCCGGUAGUC
rnacentral:rRNA from 1 species